rnacentral:rRNA from 1 species
AAUAGAUACCCCGGUAGUCCACGCCGUAAACGAUGGAUACUAGCUGUCCGGCGCAAGCUGGGUGGCUAAGCGAAAGUGAUAAGUAUCCCACCUGGGGAGUACGUUCGCAAGAAUGAAACUCAAAGGAAUUGACGGGGGCCCGCACAAGCGGUGGAGCAUGUGGUUUAAUUCGAUGAUACGCGAGGAACCUUACCAGGGCUUAAAUGUAGUGGGACAGGUCCAGAGAUGGGCCCUUCUUCGGACUCAUUACAAGGUGCUGCAUGGUUGUCGUCAGCUCGUGCCGUGAGGUGUCAGGUUAAGUCCCAUAACGAGCGCAACCCCUGUCGUUAGUUGCCAGCGAGUGAAGUCGGGAACUCUAACGAGACUGCCGGUGCAAACCGUGAGGAAGGUGGGGAUGACGUCAAAUCAUCACGGCCCUUACGUCCUGGGCUACACACGUGCUACAAUGGCCGGUACAGAGAGCAGCCACGCCGCAAGGCGGAGCGAAUCUACAAAACCGGUCACAGUUCGGAUCGGGGUCUGCAACUCGA